CCCUUAGAUGUCCUGGGCCGCACGCGCGCUACACUGAUGCAUUCAACGAGUAUUUCCUUGGCCGAGAGGCCUGGGCAAUCUUUUAAACCUGCAUCGUGAUAGGGAUAGAUUAUUGCAAUUAUUAAUCUUGAACGAGGAAUUCCUAGUAAACGCAAAUCAUCAAUUUGCAUUGAUUACGUCCCUGCCCUUUGUACACACCGCCCGUCGCACCUACCGAUUGAAUGGUCCGGUGAAAUCUCGGGAUUGUGGCCAGUUCACUUUAUUGGGAGUUGGCUGCGAGAACUUGCUUAAACCUUAUCAUUUAGAGGAAGGUGAAGGCGUAACA
rnacentral:rRNA from 1 species